rnacentral:rRNA from 1 species
AUCAUUAACUGAAUCCAUAGGUUAAUGAGGCGAACCGGGGGAACUGAAACAUCUAAGUACCCCGAGGAAAAGAAAUCAACCGAGAUUCCCCCAGUAGCGGCGAGCGAACGGGGAGGAGCCCAGAGCCUGAAUCAGCAUGUGUGUUAGUGGAAGCGUCUGGAAAGGCGCGCGAUACAGGGUGACAGCCCCGUACACAAAAGCGCAUGUGCUGUGAGCUCGAUGAGUAGGGCGGGACACGUGGUAUCCUGUCUGAAUAUGGGGGGACCAUCCUCCAAGGCUAAAUACUCCUGACUGACCGAUAGUGAACCAGUACCGUGAGGGAAAGGCGAAAAGAACCCCGGCGAGGGGAGUGAAAAAGAACCUGAAACCGUGUACGUACAAGCAGUGGGAGCACAGGUUUACCUGUGUGACUGCGUACCUUUUGUAUAAUGGGUCAGCGACUUAUAUUCUGUAGCAAGGUUAACCGAAUAGGGGAGCCGGAGGGAAACCGAGUCUUAAUUGGGCGUUAAGUUGCAGGGUAUAGACCCGAAACCCGGUGAUCUAGCCAUGGGCAGGUUGAAGGUUGGGUAACACUAACUGGAGGACCGAACCGACUAAUGUUGAAAAAUUAGCGGAUGACCUGUGGCUGGGGGUGAAAGGCCAAUCAAACCGGGAGAUAGCUGGUUCUCCCCGAAAGCUAUUUAGGUAGCGCCUCGUGAAUUCAUCUCCGGGGGUAGAGCACUGUUUCGGCUAGGGGGCCAUCCCGGCUUACCAACCCGAUGCAAACUGCGAAUACCGGAGAAUGUUAUCACGGGAGACACACGGCGGGUGCUAACGUCCGUCGUGAAGAGGGAAACAACCCAGACCGCCAGCUAAGGUCCCAAAGUCAUGGUUAAGUGGGAAACGAUGUGGGAAGGCCCAGACAGCCAGGAUGUUGGCUUAGAAGCAGCCAUCAUUUAAAGAAAGCGUAAUAGCUCACUGGUCGAGUCGGCCUGCGCGGAAGAUGUAACGGGGCUAAACCAUGCACCGAAGCUGCGGCAGCGAACGUAUCACUUAAAGCGAUUCAGCGGGUUACGAUUGACGGAGCGAAGCGACGUCAAAGCGUAUACAAAGUCG